ACGAACGCUGGCGGCGUGCUUCACACAUGCAAGUCGAACGGAAAGGCCCUGCUUUUGUGGGGUGCUCGAGUGGCGAACGGGUGAGUAACACGUAAGUAACCUGCCCUUGACUUUGGGAUAACUUCAGGAAACUGGGGCUAAUACCGGAUAGGAGCUCCUGCUGCAUGGUGGGGGUUGGAAAGUUUCGGCGGUUGGGGAUGGACUCGCGGCUUAUCAGCUUGUUGGUGGGGUAGUGGCUUACCAAGGCUUUGACGGGUAGCCGGCCUGAGAGGGUGACCGGCCACAUUGGGACUGAGAUACGGCCCAGACUCCUACGGGAGGCAGCAGUGGGGAAUAUUGCACAAUGGGCGGAAGCCUGAUGCAGCAACGCCGCGUGCGGGAUGACGGCCUUCGGGUUGUAAACCGCUUUCGCCUGUGACGAAGCGUGAGUGACGGUAAUGGGUAAAGAAGCACCGGCUAACUACGUG
rnacentral:rRNA from 1 species